rnacentral:rRNA from 1 species
CCUACGGGCGGCAGCAGUGAGGAAUAUUGGUCAAUGGACGAGAGUCUGAACCAGCCAAGUAGCGUGAAGGAUGACUGCCCUAUGGGUUGUAAACUUCUUUUAUAUGGGAAUAAAAUGUUCCACGUGUGGGAUUUUGUAUGUACCAUAUGAAUAAGGAUCGGCUAACUCCGUGCCAGCAGCCGCGGUAAUACGGAGGAUCCGAGCGUUAUCCGGAUUUAUUGGGUUUAAAGGGAGCGUAGGUGGAUUGUUAAGUCAGUUGUGAAAGUUUGCGGCUCAACCGUAAAAUUGCAGUUGAAACUGGCAGUCUUGAGUACAGUAGAGGUGGGCGGAAUUCGUGGUGUAGCGGUGAAAUGCUUAGAUAUCACGAAGAACUCCGAUUGCGAAGGCAGUUCACUGGACUGCAACUGACACUGAGGCUCGAAAGUGUGGGUAUCAAACAGGAUUAGAUACCCCAGUAGUU